rnacentral:precursor_RNA from 1 species
CCGCACGGUCGCCAAUCAUAAUCUUUCUUGGGCACCAUAUGCAAUGGGAAAGCCCACGGACUAUUAGAUGGGCGAAUAAUCCU